rnacentral:miRNA from 1 species
ACUGUAAUGUGGGCACUUCCA